rnacentral:rRNA from 1 species
UGAGGAAUAUUGGUCAAUGGGCGAGAGCCUGAACCAGCCAAGUAGCGUGCAGGAAGACGGCCCUAUGGGUUGUAAACUGCUUUUAUGUGGGGAUAAAGUGCGUGACGUGUCAUGCAUUGCAGGUACCACAUGAAUAAGGACCGGCUAAUUCCGUGCCAGCAGCCGCGGUAAUACGGAAGGUCCGGGCGUUAUCCGGAUUUAUUGGGUUUAAAGGGAGCGUAGGCUGUCUAUUAAGCGUGUUGUGAAAUAUACCGGCUCAACCGGUGGCGUGCAGCGCGAACUGGUCGACUUGAGUAUGCAGGAAGUAGGCGGAAUUCAUGGUGUAGCGGUGAAAUGCUUAGAUAUCAUGACGAACUCCGAUUGCGCAGGCAGCUUACUGUAGCAUAACUGACGCUGAUGCUCGAAAGUGCGGGUAUCAAACAGG